rnacentral:rRNA from 1 species
UACGUAGGGUGCGAGCGUUGUCCGGAAUUAUUGGGCGUAAAGAGCUCGUAGGCGGUGUGUCGCGUCGGUCGUGCAAACUUGGGGCUUAACCCUGAGCUUGCGGUCGAUACGGGCAUCACUGGAGUUCGGCAGGGGAGACUGGAAUUCCUGGUGUAGCGGUGAAAUGCGCAGAUAUCAGGAGGAACACCGGUGGCGAAGGCGGGUCUCUGGGCCGAUACUGACGCUGAGGAGCGAAAGCGUGGGGAGCGAACAGG